rnacentral:rRNA from 1 species
CGGGUGAGUAAUGCGUGACCAACCUGCCCCAUGCUCCAGAAUAGCUCUUGGAAACGGGUGGUAAUGCUGGAUGCUCCAACUUGACGCAUGUCUUGUUGGGAAAGUGUUUAGUGGCAUGGGAUGGGGUCGCGUCCUAUCAGCUUGUAGGCGGGGUAAUGGCCCACCUAGGCUUCGACGGGUAGCCGGCCUGAGAGGGCGGACGGCCACAUUUGGACUGAGAUACGGCCCAGACUCCUACGGGAGGCAGCAGCA